CCUACGGUGAUCAGCAGUGGGGAAUAUUGCACCAUGGGGGAAACCCUGAUCCAGCGACGCCGCGUGAGUGAAGAAGUAUUUCGGUACGUAAAGCUCUAUCUGCAGGAAAGAAAAUGACGGUACCUGACUACGAAGCCCCGGCUAACUACGUGCCAGCAGCCGCGGUAAUACGUAGGGGGCAAACGUUAUCCGGAUUUACUGGGUGUAAAGGGAACGUAGACGGCCGCGCAAGUCUGGAGUGAAAUGCCGGGGCCCAACCCCGGAACUGCUCUGGAAACUGGGAAGCUGGAGUGCAGGAGAGGGAAGCGGAAUUCCUGGUGUAGCGGUGCAAUGCGUAGAUAUCAGGAGGAACACCGGCGGCGAAGGCGGCUUACUGGACUGUAACUGACGUUGAGGCUCGAAGGCGUGGGGAGCAAACAGGAUUAGAUACCCGUGUAGUC
rnacentral:rRNA from 1 species